AACGAACGCUGGCGGCAGGCUUAACACAUGCAAGUCGAGCGCCCCGCAAGGGGAGCGGCAGACGGGUGAGUAACGCGUGGGAAUCUACCGAGCCCUGCGGAAUAGCUCCGGGAAACUGGAAUUAAUACCGCAUACGCCCUACGGGGGAAAGAUUUAUCGGGGUUUGAUGAGCCCGCGUUGGAUUAGCUAGUUGGUGGGGUAAUGGCCUACCAAGGCGACGAUCCAUAGCUGGUCUGAGAGGAUGAUCAGCCACAUUGGGACUGAGACACGGCCCAAACUCCUACGGGAGGCAGCAGUGGGGAAUAUUGGACAAUGGGGGCAACCCUGAUCCAGCCAUGCCGCGUGAGUGAUGAAGGCCUUAGGGUUGUAAAGCUCUUUCACCGGUGAAGAUAAUGACGGUAACCGGAGAAGAAGCCCCGGCUAACUUCGUGCCAGCCGCCGCCGUAACAC
rnacentral:rRNA from 1 species